AUUGAACGCUGGCGGCAGGCUUAACACAUGCAAGUCGAACGAGCGGCGGACGGGUGAGUAAUGUAUGGGGAUCUGCCUGAUGGAGGGGGAUAACUACUGGAAACGGUAGCUAAUAACGCAUACAAUCAGCUGAACCCAUAUGGGAUUAGCUUGUAGGUGAGGUAACGGCUCACAUAGGCGACGAGCACUAGCUGGUCUGAGAGGAUGUUCAGCCACACGUGGACUGAGACACGGCCCAGACUCCUACGGGAGGCAGCAGUGUGGAAUAUUGCACAAUGGGCGUAAGCCUGAUGCAGCCAUGCCGCGUGUAUGAAGAAGGCCUUCGGGUUGUAAAGUACUUUCAGUCGGGAGGCGUUACCGACAGAAGAAGCACCGGCUAACUCCGUGCCAGCAGCCGCGGUAAUAC
rnacentral:rRNA from 1 species